rnacentral:rRNA from 1 species
GAUGAACGCUGGCGGCGUGCCUAAUACAUGCAAGUCGAGCGAACAGACGAGGAGCUUGCUCCUCUGAUGUUAGCGGCGGACGGGUGAGUAACACGUGGAUAACCUACCUAUAAGACUGGGAUAACUUCGGGAAACCGGAGCUAAUACCGGAUAAUAUUUUGAACCGCAUGGUUCAAUAGUGAAAGACGGUCUUGCUGUCACUUAUAGAUGGAUCCGCGCUGCAUUAGCUAGUUGGUAAGGUAACGGCUUACCAAGGCAACGAUGCGUAGCCGACCUGAGAGGUGAACGGGCAACCUGGAAACGAGGCAACGGCCCGGAUCCUAAGGGAGGCAGCAGUGGGGAAUCUUCCGGAAUGGGGGGAAGCCUGAAGGGGGAAAGGCGGGUGAGGGAUGAAAGUCUUCGGGUCGUAAAACCCUGUUAAUAGGGAAAAACAAAUGUGUAAGGAACUAUGCACCACUUGACGGUACCUAAUCAGAAAGCCCCGGCUAACUACGUG